rnacentral:misc_RNA from 1 species
ACAUUUGAACUUUUGAGAAGAUAAUAUUUAAAAGAGUUUUGCUUAUCUUGACUAUAAACUAACAGUGAUUGAACUAUAUGUCAUAUAUAUACGUUAACCUUCAUCACAAAUUUUUCAAAGUACAUCUUUUGAGACUGUAGAAUGUUGUUUCUCAACAAGCAACUAAUAUUUAUUCUUUUCUGUACCAUUGUCCCAAAAGCCAAUGGAGUGGAUGAAGAGAGUCCUAUUAUGACAUAUAGGCCCAUCAUCGGUGUAAUGAGUAUUGAUAUAAAUCAUGGAUGGAUUAAAUGGUUCCCUAACAAAACACAAAGCAUUGCGGCUUCCUACAUAAAAAUUGUUGAGACUGGCGGAGCACGUGCAGUGCCCAUUCUAUGUAACCAAACGGAUGAGUACUACGAAAAAAUGUUUCAAUCGACAAACGGACUCUUAAUACCGGGUGGAGGUGUUUCCUUAGACACAUCUUGUUACGCUCAAGUGGGAAGAACAAUGAUUCAGAAAGCCCUGAAUAGUGGAGACUACUAUCCGAUUUGGGGUACAUGCUUAGGGUUCGAAUUGAUUUUACAUAUCUUAGACGACAAUAGGCCUAAUUUAUCUAAAUGUUACUCCAAGAAUGUCAGCUUACCUCUGUAUUUUGAUGAUGAUUAUUUAAAUAAGAGUAGGAUUGGUCAAGCCAUGCCAAAACAAAUGAAACACAUUCUAUCAACUGAAAAUGUGACGUCAAACUUUCACAAGAAAUGUAUAACAAUACAAACCUUUUAUGAGCAUAACUUGGAUACUAUUUGGUAUCCCCUCUCAACUAGCUAUGAUGAAAGUGGACUAGAGUUUAUUUCCUUGAUUGAGGCUAAGAACUAUGCCUUUUGGGGAUCACAAUUCCAUCCUGAGAAAACAAUGUUUGAGUGGAGUCCUCGAAUUAACACCCAUGAUAUACAUUCACCUCAAUCUAUUCUAGCUUCACAAUUCUUUGCCAAUUUUUUUGUGCAAGAAUGUAGGAAAAAUGAGCAUAGAUUUAAAAGUCGUGAAGAGGAAGAAAAUUAUUUGAUUUCAAAUUAUGAUCCGUUUUUCACAGGAAAUCACGAGAGAGAUCUCAUUUUUAGCGAAGCAUAUUUAUUUGAUUGAAACCAUUUUUUUAAAUAAAAAAAAAGUUCAUUUAGAUCAAUUGUACCAGUUUUGUAAAUUGCAAAUUAUGAAAAUGAAUAGAAAUAAUAAUUGUUUUUUUAAGUUAUAAAUUUUCAUAAAUUGUAUCAAUAAAAGCUAAAGAGCUUUUUUGCAAUUAGUUAAAUAAUAUUAUGUCAUUCUCUUUUUAGGAAAUAUUUAUUUUUGAAGGUAAGUGCAUCUUUCUCACUACUCCAUCAAAAGUCAAUGACACACGAAUACAUGAUGAAUUUGUAAAACAAGUUCAACCAAAUAACAAUAGCCAUAGGAAUCUGUUUAUCCAGCUAAGGCUUGGUUCAAUUCUAAAUUUGCAUCAGUAUCUGCGUUUUAAAACGGACCUCAAUUAAAUCUUUAUUGAAUCAAAGACAGGCGAAAAGUAAUACAAAUUACUUUUAGAAUAAGUGCAGGGGAUGUAGAAAGUCAAGAAAUCUGCAUACACGAGAUAAUUACCCUGCUAAAGAUAGGGAAUAUGUUUGGUGCCGCAAAAAAGACCAUAUCCUUUGUAUGCAUGAGAUGAAAACCUUACGUAGAAAAAUAGAGGAGAAAAACAAAUUCACAAGCCAUUUGAUCGUCAAUCAUUCACGUGGAAAUACAUACUUCUACUAAUUAGAGUCCUCUAGUUCCUUUGAAAUAUAUUACAACAAAGAAGAGCUUUGAUUCCGUGCAUUACCAAUAAAGGAACGAAUAAAACGUUCCUUUUAGUGGGCAUUUUGUCAUAAUAUAAUAUUCUCAAUAUCUCUAACUCACAGCUAAUAAUUGAAACAGUAAACAAACCAACACUUAAGUGUAAUGAAGUUGUCAUUCUCUGUUUUCCUGGUCAUCACGGCACCAAAUAACAGGUCAAAGCAACAAGAUAAGUUAAUAAAUUAUUUUUAUUCAUUUAUUUAUAUUUAUAUCGUCCCUAAUUUUUUUUCAGAGCCCUUUAUCUAAGUAAAUUAUUCACUCAUAAGUAAACGUGAAACAUUAAUUUCACAUCAACAUAAUGAGACUUACAACUAAGUUGAUUGCAACAGACAUCACAUUAUUAAAAAAAAAAAACAUGAUAAUUUUGAUGAAAUCUUUUAAAAUAUCUCCAAAACAUCUACUAACAAUAAUUUAAACAAAAAAUAGGUUUUAAAGUUUUCCUAAACUCCUGAUUUAUAUAUACUGCAAUAGGUUUAUUAUGAAAAUGUAUCUGACAAGAAGGGGUUUACUCUGUAUCAGGUGUACAACCACAUAAACAACCGUUGGUUUAAAAUAUCAACAGAAUAGUUCAAGGUGUCUUCUACAUAAAAUAUAUAUAUAUAGUAUAUGUAAUUAGUGCUAUGUCGGUCCUUAUUUAUUUAGUCCAGUGCAGUACAGUCUUAGAACCGGUCCAAUCUUUCUUUGGGACAGGUGUUUAAUACCUUCAGUGUUUCACACUAUCAGUACAAUAACUAAUUAAAAAACGACUAAAGUUGAGCAAUACCAAAAAGGACAAACCUUAUAAGUAUUUUUGACUGAUAGACAUGGACUGAACUGGAAAAACUUGCAGUCUUUGCACGUAAAUAAGGACUGUCACAACACUACAUGUGAUAGUCCGGUGUGUUCUAGAAUCCCUCAAAGUUGGAUUUAUCAAUAAAUAAAUGAAAUAUCCAGAGGAUGUUAUUGGUAUGUCUUGCAAAACGCUUAGAAUAUGGAUUUUUAAUAGACGGACUGCAGUCCAAAUUCGAUGUGAGAGUACAUUUUAUACGCAUCUAUUUAAUAACAAUAUGGAUAAAAAAAUACAUCUGAUCUUAGUAUUUUUAUCUUAGAACUUUGUUUUAAUGACAAGACUGGCAUGCCCUACCCAACUAACCCGAGGGAGUUUUUUUUAAUUUACACAACACACGUCUGUAAAAAUGAUCCAAUGCCCAAUUGCAGUGUUCCCUUCAUUGAUUAUAUAUAUAUAUAUAUAUUAAUAAAGGAAGCAAGUGUGUUUUCUCUAAGAAGAAUCUUGUGAAUAGUAAAUUUCAUACUAAACUCACUCAUAAGUGCUUAGAGCAGAUAAUUAAGAUUGUCAUAACUAUGAAUUUUACCUAAAAACUACAGUUGUUAGACUUGUAAUAUGUAAAAAUAAAAAUUAUUAAAACGUUAAAUAUUUUUAUCAUGUUUAAAUUAUAUAAUGUCCCAUGAAAAUGUAAGCCUUUACUUCAUUAGUAUGGCCCACGGGAUGAUUUUUUCAUCUCAAAUUAGCACAAAUAUAAAAAAACUUUUGAAAAAUUCUGGUUAGACAGUUAGUUGAGGCUAUGGUCAAGGCUAGUGGAGGACAUAUGUUAUAUACUCGGUUUAAAAUACAUUCAAUUCAUUAUAUUUCAAAUUUCAAUGAGAUGCAUUCAUCAAAUAUACACUCUUUAAAGGGUCAACUAUCAGAUCAGACAUUUUUACCUACUUACACUGUAUAUAUAACAAUAUAAGUAAUAUUGUUAAGAAUUAAAAACUUUUUUAAUGGAUUAUUUUCUAAUUAAAACGUAAUUAAUAUAUAUUAACAUCUUAUUGUGAUAUAUUUUUUAUUUAAUUAUGAAAAAUGUAUUGAAAUUUCUACAAACAUUUAUUUGUUAAUGUUUUGAUUAUUUAUCUUUUAUUUAUUUGUUUUGUAGACUCUUUUAAUUGUAAUUGCACAACUAUCCUUUACGUGACUAGCUUUAGGGCCUUUUUAUAUUAUUUUCUAAGUACUUAAUACAUUUUACAAUAGAUAUUUGUACAUCAUCAAGGAAUAUAAGGUACAAUUGGCUUUGACCAUAUAAUAAUGAUUGUUUUUUGAAAGGGAAAUGUUCAAUAAAUAAGUAUAAACACAUUUUUUGUAAUAAAAUAUCAACACACUUUAUUUUUCUAAAUAUAAAAUUGACUAAUAUGUUCCUUUGGUAAUUCAUUAUUCUUAUAAUUACAAAAAGGGUUUUAUUAAAGUAUGCAAAAGGUUUUAGAAUCCAAAUAAAUAGAAAAACUGAAAUUGUAUUAGAUUUUGAUAAAUUGUGAUGACGUCAAAUAAUUUUUUAUUUACUAUAUAAAGUUCAAUAUGAUUUUAGAGUUUUCUCUUUUUUUUUGCUAAUAAUAAUAUUAUUUAAAAAGUAAACUAAAACAUUUGAAACCCUCAUGAACAGGAACAAAAAUGUAAACGAUUAAUGGGGAAAAAAUAUAUUUGGUGUGUCUGUUAUUUAUCAUUCAUAUUUUUCCAAAAUAUAAUUGUCUAUGACGUAAUUUCUUAAUCAACUUAAAGCAACGCUAUGUUUAAGACAUUUUGUUUGUGUUUGUAGUUAUUGAACAAUAUGGAAAAAAUUUCAAAAAAAAAGUUCAAAUGAAACUUUAAAAUACCAACGAUCCUUCAUCCGUGAUGAUGUAAGGAGUUGUACAUUAACUGGGGACAAGAUGACACCUGUAGGUGUUUCAAUGGACUACAGGUUGACUCCUGUUGGAGAUUUCUGAGACCCAGGUCAACUAUAGGUUAUGAAUAUGAAAAUUACUAAGGAGGUUCCAUAACUCCAACGAGAUAGGUGCCUUCCCUCACUGCAAAUAAGUUACAGUCCUGGUUGACCCAGAAAAUGUCAUUUGGGCCAAAUAACUUCAACCCCCCACUGAAAAAAAAGAACCUAAGCCCUCUUGAUUAAGGCAUUUGAUGGUAUGUGAAGUCAAAUGCCAGCAUAAAUCACCACUACUAUAUUGAUGACUUCACAGUAUCUAUGAACAAAUUUUGGAUGUCCAAGAAGAAGAAGUACAUCAUCAACGUAUGCAAGGCCUUCAGGAUCCGCAUGGAGCGAGUCAUUAAUGUCAAUGCUAAUGACAUUGAUUCAACUGUAUGAGGAAAUAUUUUGAAUUACAAAAGUGUUUGCAAUAAACAGAAUGAAGACGUCAUGUAUAAAUGUUCUUAAGUAGUUGUGAAAUUGAUGGAUAUUUGGUUGGCGCAUUAUACUAUAAAAUUAUCAUUAGUAAUGAGUUUGAGUAAG